rnacentral:rRNA from 1 species
CGCCCUCUUCGGAGGGAGUGGCAGACGGGUGAGUAACGCGUGGGAAUCUACCUAGCUCUACGGAAUAACGCAGGGAAACUUGUGCUAAUACCGUAUACGCCCUUCGGGGGAAAGAUUUAUCGGAGUUGGAUGAGCCCGCGUUAGAUUAGCUAGUUGGUGGGGUAAUGGCCCACCAAGGCGACGAUCUAUAGCUGGUCUGAGAGGAUGGUCAGCCACACUGGGACUGAGACACGGCCCAG